ACUCCUACGGGAGGCAGCAGUGGGGAAUAUUGCACAAUGGGCGCAAGCCUGAUGCAGCCAUGCCGCGUGUGUGAAGAAGGCCUUCGGGUUGUAAAGCACUUUCAGUCGUGAGGAAGGUAGUGUAGUUAAUAGCUGCAUUAUUUGACGUUAGCGACAGAAGAAGCACCGGCUAACUCCGUGCCAGCAGCCGCGGUAAUACGGAGGGUGCGAGCGUUAAUCGGAAUUACUGGGCGUAAAGCGCAUGCAGGUGGUUUGUUAAGUCAGAUGUGAAAGCCCGGGGCUCAACCUCGGAAUAGCAUUUGAAACUGGCAGACUAGAGUACUGUAGAGGGGGUAGAAUUUCAGGUGUAGCGGUGAAAUGCGUAGAGAUCUGAAGGAAUACCGGUGGCGAAGGCGGCCCCUGGACAGAUACUGACACUCAGAUGCGAAAGCGUGGGAGCAAACAGGAUUAGAUACCCCUGGUAGCGACUGA
rnacentral:rRNA from 1 species